AACGAACGCUGGCGGCAUGCCUAACACAUGCAAGUCGAACGAGACCUUCGGGUCUAGUGGCGCACGGGUGCGUAACGCGUGGGAACCUGCCCUUAGGUUCGGAAUAACUCCCCGAAAGGGGUGCUAAUACCGGAUAAUGUCUUCGGCCCAAAGAUUUAUCGCCUUUGGAUGGGCCCUCGUUGGAUUAGCUAGUUGGUAGGGUAAAAGCCUACCACGGCGACGAUCCAUAGCUGGUCUGAGAGGAUGAUCAGCCACACUGGGACUGAGACACGGCCCAGACUCCUACGGGAGGGAGCAGUGGGGAAUAUUGGACAAUGGGCGAAAGCCUGAUCCAGCAAGGCCGCGUGAGUGAUGAAGGCCUUAGGGUUGUAAAGCUCUUUUACCCGGGAUGAUAAUGACAGUACCGGGAGAAUAAGCCCCGGCUAACUCCGUG
rnacentral:rRNA from 1 species